UCAGAGCAGCAGAGAAAUCACCGUUCCCCAGGCCUUGCCGGGACUACGAGGCAGCAGAGAGCAUUGUGGCAGGACGGUUUUUCCUUCUGAAGGGUGGUUAAUGAGCAAUGUAGGUGAAGACCCCUGAGAGAUACCUGGGCAUCCUGCCCACCCAAAUAGAAGACCGCGUUGAGAUGGCAGUCGGAGAUGGAGCCCAUGACCAGAGAGAGGGACAGAGGAGAGGAGCGCGGGGACAGUGCCGGACACAAAGUAAAAGCGCUGCCAGUUCAUUUAGGUCUGAAUGAUUUUAAGAAGUCACUAAGGAGCAGCCCUGUCACAACAGCCUCCAAAGGACAGAGAGUGAACCACAGAGGAAAUUCGAAUGCAUGUACAGUGGGUUCCAUUACCAGGGAGCCUGAGCUUGGGACAAGAGGAGCUCAUCACCACCAGAAAAUACUACCAACAUGCCCAAGAGUUUGUUUCCCAUACUUUUAAAGAAAAAGAAAAAUGGAUGGUUCUGAAAUCACCUGGGUUUGUUUUAUUACAUUAUAUCUUCUGGCAAGAUCAGUGAUGGCAGAUGUGAUUCAGCAAUAGAAGCAUGGCUGUACUGGUAGGUUUUUAAAAUAAAUUCAAGGGCUGUACUUUCUGACUGGCUACCUCCCUGUGGUUUGGCUUUUUAAUGGAGUUCAAUAGGCUUCAUGUUUCUUAUUAUGAUUUCCUUUAAAAUCUCUGUAUACGAUAAUGUUUGUGCUACUGGAUAUUGUUCUAGUUUUAUUUAAAUGCCACAUCUUCAACACAGUAUAGUAAAGAUGUGCUAAUUAAACUCAAUCUAUUUUACAUCAA